AGAGAUGCUCUCCUUCCUCGUCUUCUUUCCUCUCAGCGGCCGGCCCUUCUGUGACAGAGAGAUGAACAUCUCUUUGCCGUUUUUAGUCCAUUUGACGGACGAGUACGCCGUGUAGUAGUUCUCUAAAAACACUUCUUUGAAGUUGCAGCUGUCGUUGUAGUCUUUCUGUCCGGGAAAGAAGAACAGAUGGUAAGGAUGAAUGGCUUCAUACUUUGCCCUGUAACAUUCCGGUGCGGUUCAUGGAAAUAUAAUACUGGCUCUUCAGUCCUUUUAUAGCCAACACGCCGCCCUCCGAAACCGUCCUGAUCUCCAGAACACCUGAAACACAGACAGAGACCGGCCCGCACACAUGAAGACACGCAGACGUAAACACCACAGACACAUCUGCUCAAAUCUGCCAGUUCAUACAUGACUUAAAUCAGGGUUACUGUAUGUAAAUAAAGCUAAUAUCAUACAUGCAAUUUAAAUAAAUCUUAACUAACUAACUUAAACACUUUAUUUGAGAUGGAGGUUAUUGACCUUUAAUUGAAAGGUGAUGUGUGUCAUUUUGGGUGUUAAAUUUCUUCUGCUGUAUUUCAGCUGAUUUAGCAAGAAUUUAUUCUUGCUAUUCUGUUUAAUAGCACAGAAAAACACACCUCAGCUUUCAGAAUCCAUUCCUUUGAAGCCAAAUACCAGCAGCAGAUGGAUCGAUCUCGAUCUACAGCGUGCUAAAGCUCCAGUUGCACAGAUAUUUGACAGCUGAAGCAUCUGUUUGUUGUGUUUGGAUGAGGAGAGGACGCAGCUCUUGUUGUUUUGAGCUCUCUCUCUCUCUGUGUGUGUGUGUGUGUGUGUGUCACGUGUGCUGUAAUAAGCUGCUGUCACGGCACAGCUCUGUCAGAACCUCAGUACUCGUCUGCUUCUCUCUCCCGCGGCACUGGCCGACCCUCUCUGACCCUCACUGCAUGUCUUGCAUGCGCUCUGUGCGUGCAGUUGUCGGCCACAUCUGGCUGUAUCAAUUUUUCUUCUUUUCAGCGCCAGCUGACGCAAUAAUUUUCCCUCCAGAGCAGAGAUGCAUGCCGUCACGCCAACACGACCACUUUCUUCUCAUACACAACUGAAAUGACUAAUAACCAAACAUGCCAGAGGCUGAUGUUAUGUAUAUACAUGAUCAUUAAAGUGUAUAAUCAAUUAUUAAAAUAUUUAUUUUCUCAGCUAAAUAAUUCAUUAUGCAUCCAUGCACAAAACAUCAGCUUCCAAUCUCAUUAUUUUAUUGUUGUUUUGACGCUCUCUACACAAACUAGAUUGCAGUCACUGAAUUGUACAUCCAUUCUGACCACAUCUGAUAACUUCUGACCACUAAGUCCUUCAACGAAGGGAAACAAGAGUUAUAAAUACUCCCCUCCCAGCAAGCACCUGUUUGUCUUUACGCCUGUCACUUCUCGUCACACUGCCACGUGACCUGCUCACAAUCCCACUGGAACCCUGACCAGCCCAUUCCUUUCACAUACAGUGGGAAACUCUUUCUAGUCCCUGCUAUAAUUUAAGAGGCUUUCACCAAUCAUGUGCUUUUUUCAUCACCCUGUGAUAGAUCCUGUGUGAAGCUCCUGACACACAACAGAAACCUGAAGACCUCAGACAGACGUGUGAUGACGCUCUUACUGUAGCAGUUGUUGGGAUCCUGCGUCCCGUUGAUGUUCCCGAACUCGUCGAUCAUCAGAAACCACUGCGUGCGACUGUAGAGGCGUCGGAUCCGGACGUCCCCUCCUUCCAUGUAGUCGUAGUUCCUGGUGUGGCGCUCGUGUUUGAAGCAGUCGGUCACAGCAGCCUGGUCUCCAUCGCACACACAAACACGGCUGACCAGCAGCACUAGCCACAGUUUACACGCAAACUCAGGCAGUUUCCAUCGCAGCGUCCAUUUGCGCAUUAUACUGCGUUUCUCAAGGAGUUCAUGAUCCACAUACUGAAGGUAGAACUCAGGUUGGAUCUUAAAGCUGUGAGAGAUCCACUCAAGUACAAUCCUCAGAUGCUGGCGUGACCUCUGACCUCCAGCAGAAUCUCCUCAGAGCUGGAGGAGGCAGCAGUGUGUUCGCUUCUGCUGUUAAGGACACAAAUGAACAAAUAGAUGCUUCACAUGCUGUCCAUUCCUGAUGAGGUUACAGGAGGCAGGAUGUGCGCUUCAGUCCAGACGGUUCCACUGUGAUACACGGAGAGAGGGAGUUUCGGGGCCGCCCGUCUGCGCUGUGCAUCUUCUCGUGUUGCUGAGCUCUGUGCGAUCUCUGAUAAAAGCCUCCUGCUGACCUCACUUCUCUG